rnacentral:rRNA from 1 species
AGCCUUAAGAAUUAAUUUAAGGUGAAGCCUGCCCAGUGCUAAUUAAGGUCAACGGCCGCAGUACUUUGACUGUGCUAAGGUAGCAUAAUCAGUUGGCUUUUAAAUGGAGUCGGGAAUGAAUGGAUGAAUGGGGCCUUUCUGUCUCUUAAUUACUCUAUUGAAUUUACUUAGUAAGUGAAAAUUCUUACAUCAAAGAAAUAAGACGAGAAGACCCUAGGAGUUUUUACUAAAAUAAUUUAAUAAUUAUUUAAGUUUUUGUUGGGGCGACAAGAGAAAACUAAUUUAACCUCUCUUUUAGUAUACGCCGACUUAAGUAUGUGAAUUUAAACUACCCUAGGGAUAACAGCGUAAUUCUUUUUGAGUUUGCGACCUCGAUGUUGGACUAGGAAUAAAUUAGGUUAGCCGUCUAAUUUCAAGGUUCUGUUCGAACUAGUCUUCCUACAU